rnacentral:rRNA from 1 species
CUUUUACAAUGAAGAGUUUGAUCCUGGCUCAGGAUGAACGCUAGCUACAGGCUUAACACAUGCAAGUCGAGGGGCAGCAUGAUUGAAGCUUGCUUCAAUCGAUGGCGACCGGCGCACGGGUGAGUAACACGUAUCCAACCUGCCGAUAACUCGGGGAUAGCCUUUCGAAAGAAAGAUUAAUACCCGAUAGUAUAGUAUUUCCGCAUGGUUUCACUAUUAAAGAAUUUCGGUUAUCGAUGGGGAUGCGUUCCAUUAGAUAGUUGGCGGGGUAACGGCCCACCAAGUCAACGAUGGAUAGGGGUUCUGAGAGGAAGGUCCCCCACAUUGGAACUGAGACACGGUCCAAACUCCUACGGGAGGCAGCAGUGAGGAAUAUUGGUCAAUGGACGAGAGUCUGAACCAGCCAAGUAGCGUGAAGGAUGACUGCCCUAUGGGUUGUAAACUUCUUUUAUACGGGAAUAAAGUGGAGUAUGCAUACUCCUUUGUAUGUACCGUAUGAAUAAGGAUCGGCUAACUCCGUGCCAGCAGCCGCGGUAAUACGGAGGAUCCGAGCGUUAUCCGGAUUUAUUGGGUUUAAAGGGAGCGUAGGCGGGUGCUUAAGUCAGUUGUGAAAGUUUGCGGCUCAACCGUAAAAUUGCAGUUGAUACUGGGCGCCUUGAGUGCAGCAUAGGUAGGCGGAAUUCGUGGUGUAGCGGUGAAAUGCUUAGAUAUCACGAAGAACUCCGAUUGCGAAGGCAGCUUACUGGACUGUAACUGACGCUGAUGCUCGAAAGUGUGGGUAUCAAACAGGAUUAGAUACCCUGGUAGUCCACACAGUAAACGAUGAAUACUCGCUGUUGGCGAUACACAGUCAGCGGCCAAGCGAAAGCAUUAAGUAUUCCACCUGGGGAGUACGCCGGCAACGGUGAAACUCAAAGGAAUUGACGGGGGCCCGCACAAGCGGAGGAACAUGUGGUUUAAUUCGAUGAUACGCGAGGAACCUUACCCGGGCUUAAAUUGCAGCGGAAUGUAGUGGAAACAUUACAGCCUUCGGGCCGCUGUGAAGGUGCUGCAUGGUUGUCGUCAGCUCGUGCCGUGAGGUGUCGGCUUAAGUGCCAUAACGAGCGCAACCCUUAUCUAUAGUUACUAUCAGGUCAUGCUGAGGACUCUAUGGAGACUGCCGUCGUAAGAUGUGAGGAAGGUGGGGAUGACGUCAAAUCAGCACGGCCCUUACGUCCGGGGCUACACACGUGUUACAAUGGGGGGUACAGAAGGCAGCUACCUGGCGACAGGAUGCUAAUCCCAAAAACCUCUCUCAGUUCGGAUUGGAGUCUGCAACCCGACUCCAUGAAGCUGGAUUCGCUAGUAAUCGCGCAUCAGCCACGGCGCGGUGAAUACGUUCCCGGGCCUUGUACACACCGCCCGUCAAGCCAUGAAAGCCGGGGGUACCUGAAGUACGUAACCGCAAGGAGCGUCCUAGGGUAAAACUGGUGAUUGGGGCUAAGUCGUAACAAGGUAGCCGUACCGGAAGGUGCGGCUGGAACACCUCCUUUCU